AUUGAACGCUGGCGUCAGGCCUAACACAUGCAAGUCGAACGGUAACAGGAAGCAGCUUGCUGCUUCGCUGACGAGUGGCGGACGGGUGAGUAAUGUCUGGGAAGCUGCCUGAUGGAGGGGGAUAACUACUGGAAACAGUAGCUAAUACCGCAUAAUGUCGCAAGACCAAAGAGGGGGACCUUCGGGCCUCUUGCCAUCGGAUGUGCCCAGAUGGGAUUAGCUUGUUGGUGGGGUAACGGCUCACCAAGGCGACGAUCCCUAGCUGGUCUGAGAGGAUGACCAGCCACACUGGAACUGAGACACGGUCCAGACUCCUACGGGAGGCAGCAGUGGGGAAUAUUGCACAAUGGGCGCAAGCCUGAUGCAGCCAUGCCGCGUGUAUGAAGAAGGCCUUCGGGUUGUAAAGUACUUUCAGCGGGGAGGAAGGGAGUAAAGUUAAUACCUUUGCUCAUUGACGUUACCCGCAGAAGAAGCACCGGCUAACUCCGUG
rnacentral:rRNA from 1 species